rnacentral:rRNA from 1 species
AAGCGUUAUCCGGAAUGAUUGGGCGUAAAGCGUCUGUAGGUGGCUUUUUAAGUCCGCCGUCAAAUCCCAGGGCUCAACCCUGGACAGGCGGUGGAAACUACCAAGCUGGAGUACGGUAGGGCAGAGGAAUUUCCGGUGGAGCGGUGGAAAUGCGUAGAGAUCGGAAAGACACCAACGGCGAAAGCAACUCUGCUGGGCCGACACUGACACUGAGAGACGAAAGCUAGGGGGAGC